rnacentral:rRNA from 1 species
GUAAUGUGAAUUGCAGAAUUCAGUGAAUCAUCGAAUCUUUGAACGCACCUUGGCUCCUUGGUAUUCCUUGGAGCAUGCCUGUUUGAGAGUCUUGAAUAUCUCUGCUUUUAUAUUUUUUAAUUAAGAUAUAACAAGUCAGGUCCUUGGGUCUGCUUGCG